AUCCUGGGAAACAUGGCAACACGUACAAAAACAUGAAGAUGCUUCGUUUAAUCACAAGUGAAGUCAUUUUGGCGUACAAGCUGUUGUGUAAACCUGAAGCAAAUUUCUAUUAGCUAAGGUUUUGUCCGAUUUUCCGCCCAUAUCUGUUGAAUUAACUGAUUUGCGUCAGGCAAAAUAAAUAAUUUACACACCCUAAAAGGUAAGAUUUGGAAUCUAAAUAAUUAAAUAAACACUCGUCACUUUGUCACACAUCCCUUUCUCUACUGCCUCCAAAACGGCUUUCUUAAAGGUUGGGUAUGGGAUUUGCGAAACGCCAGCAGAUUUUGAAAAUACACAACUCGAAUGGUCCUACCCAGAGUGGUAGAUAUAACAGAGUGGCGACACUUCCAUUGGACUCCGUUGUAGCGCCUACUUCCGGGGUAUGGAGCCUCGAAUAGUUCCAAACAACCAUUUUACGGCGUAGGAGAUCAUUCAUUUCCAUUGCUGGCCGUCGAGUAACUUCUGAGACGACCGAUUGCCUGCUAGUUUGUGAGCUCGACUUCGCCAUGUGAAGUUGCCUUGUUAGGUCCUCCAUAGUCGCCCCAUCAGUCCCUGGCAGUCUGGUCCCUGGAGCAGCUGCCCCUGGAUCACCUGCCCCUGGAUCACCUGCCCCUGGAUCACCUGCCCCUGAAUCACCUGCCCCUGGCAAAGUGGCCCACUUGAUUGCUCUCGCUGUCUCCUGUCAUGUCCUUUUCAUCUCUCUUGAAAUCCACCUCAAUUUCUCCUUCAAUCUCUGUAAUAAUUACAAGGUAAUGUUGCUGUUAUAUGUAUUUUGCCUUUGCAUUUGCAACUACUGUCAUCUCCAAUGUAAGAAAAUUUAUUAAAGCGAAACAUUUCUGUAAUGUGAAUUAAAUCAUCUGCCACAAUCACAAACCAAUAAAAUGUAUAAAUGGAUCUACCGGCAAUUGUUAAUUGGGUAGAAAUGUGUCGAUUAUCCACAUUGUGUGCAAAUCCUCAGAGAAUCCCUGACCUCUGGUUGUUUCUUAAACUGAAUGUACAAAUAUGAAUUAUGCAAUCUCAUUAGGAGUGUAGUCUAUCCUUGAAUUACAUGAAAUGGGGAUUAUUGUUAGCUGCAUGGAUCACACCGAAGUUUAAUUUGGUGAAAUAUGUGUGGUCCGUUGCACUUGGUUCUGGAGGCACCCUCACAGAAGGGGGUUUCCUCCUCUUCGGCUUAGGGCGAUGAAUGAAAACUGUUGGUACUGCAUCGGGCCUCGGCUUCAACAUCCCUUCUUUUUUUGUGGCAGUGAAUUAGUUCAAAGUGUACCUGUAGGUAGGCUUGUAAGAUCAGUUUCCAUUGCACUUCAAAUAUCAUUGAAAAGUCAUAAUUCUCUACACUUAGAAUUAUUAUGCCCUUUGAAAUGCUAUCAAGUGUUGUGAACAUUACUUAUGUUCACAACACAGGGGUCAGCAACAGUUUUUGACUGUUGCUGACCCCUGUCACUUGUAAGUUUUGACGGCUGACCAUUGCUAUCCAUUUCUUCCUGCGCUCUUGGUCCUUGGGGAAGCCAUACAUGUGGUAACCCUUCUCGGACCGAUUGGAGCAUCCAAACGCUGCACAGCCAACCAUGGUAUGACCAUUGAUCUAAACCAAUUUUGAAUUUGCUCAGGGCUAUUAUAAGUAUUGUAUUGGCAUAAAGUAUAGUUUAUUUGCAACGUUAUAUGUUAAUGGUUUGCCCUAAGUAUAUAGUGUUCCCUGCUGUGUCCAUUGUUGAAUCUGUUCACACAAUCGCACUCACUUGUUCGUGUCACACUAAUUGUUUAAUAAAAAAAAAUACUAUUUCAUUCA